rnacentral:rRNA from 1 species
UACGGAGGAUCCAAGCGUUGUCCGGAUUUAUUGGGUUUAAAGGGUGCGUAGGUGGAUAAUUAAGUCAGGGGUGAAAGCCUGCAGCUCAACUGUAGAACUGCCCUUGAAACUGAUUAUCUUGAAUGUGGUUGAGGUAGGCGGAAUGUGUCAUGUAGCGGUGAAAUGCUUAGAUAUGAUACAGAACACCAAUUGCGAAGGCAGCUUACUAAGCCAUUAUUGACACUGAGGCACGAAAGCAUGGGGAGCAAACAGG